rnacentral:rRNA from 1 species
GACGAACGCUGGCGGCGUGCUUAACACAUGCAAGUCGAACGAAGAGCGAUGGAAGCUUGCUUCUAUCAAUCUUAGUGGCGAACGGGUGAGUAACGCGUAAUCAACCUGCCCUUCAGAGGGGGACAACAGUUGGAAACGACUGCUAAUACCGCAUACGAUCUAAUCUCGGCAUCGAGGAUAGAUGAAAGGUGGCCUCUACAUGUAAGCUAUCACUGAAGGAGGGGAUUGCGUCUGAUUAGCUAGUUGGAGGGGUAACGGCCCACCAAGGCGAUGAUCAGUAGCCGGUCUGAGAGGAUGAACGGCCACAUUGGGACUGAGACACGGCCCAGACUCCUACGGGAGGCAGCAGUGGGGAAUCUUCCGCAAUGGACGAAAGUCUGACGGAGCAACGCCGCGUGAGUGAUGACGGCCUUCGGGUUGUAAAGCUCUGUUAAUCGGGACGAAAGGCCUUCUUGCGAAUAGUGAGAAGGAUUGACGGUACCGGAAUAGAAAGCCACGGCUAACUACGU